rnacentral:rRNA from 1 species
UACGAAGGGGGCUAGCGUUGCUCGGAAUCACUGGGCGUAAAGGGUGCGUAGGCGGGUCUUUAAGUCAGGGGUGAAAUCCUGGAGCUCAACUCCAGAACUGCCUUUGAUACUGAGGAUCUUGAGUUCGGGAGAGGUGAGUGGAACUGCGAGUGUAGAGGUGAAAUUCGUAGAUAUUCGCAAGAACACCAGUGGCGAAGGCGGCUCACUGGCCCGAUACUGACGCUGAGGCACGAAAGCGUGGGAGCAAACAGGGAUU